rfam:Methanosarcina barkeri str. Fusaro, complete genome.
UAGAUCGGAGUCGGCGACCCGAUGGGUAUGCCGAUUUCCCAUAUAAUGGCUUCAGGUAUGACUGGAAUUAGAGCUGCAGGUGACCUUGUUGCAAGAAUGG